GAUGAAGAACGUAGCGAAAUGCGAUAAGUAAUGCGAAUUGCAGAAUUCCAGUGAGUCAUCGAAUCUUUGAACGCACAUUGCGCCCAUUGGUAUUCCGAUGGGCAUGCCUGUUCGAGCGUCAUUAUCAACCCUCAAGCUCAGCUUGGUAUUGGGGCCUGCCAGUCUGGCAGCCCUUAAAGUCAGUGGCGGUGCCAUCGGGCUCUCAGCGUAGUAAUUCUUUCUCGCUAUGGAGUCCCGGUGGGUGCUUGCCAUCAACCUUAAAAAAAACUUUUCUAUGGUUGACCUCGGAUCAGGUAGGGAUACCCGCUGAACUUAAGCAUAUCAAUAAGCGGAGGA
rnacentral:misc_RNA from 1 species